ACUUUUCCUUCUAUAGGAAAAACACUUAUAUACAAAUUUUUAUUCCUAGAGAAUCAGAUGAGUUAUGAUAGCAUAAAAUAACAGCUUUCCAUGUCAUUUUAAGACAUUUAGAAAUACAUUACAGUUUAGAAGAGAAAAGAAAGAAACAAUUAAACUAGAUAAUUGAGCAGGCACAGAUAUGUGACUAUACAAAGAGAAUGAUGAAAAGUUUAUAUGGAAGUAUUAAAAGAAAAUAGGAUAAAAACCAUGUGAAUAAGUAUACAGCAGUGAAAGUAAGCUAUCCAGUUAUUAAAGUGAGGAAAGAAAUUGAACAACAAUUGGUAAAAAUUAAUAUAUGAGAGACAAAAUACCAUAUCUAAUGUUCUGUGUAAUGACAGAAAUAAGUUACCACUAUUAAGGAAAAUUGGAGUAUAAGCCUAUCAACUGCCACUUAAGAAUAAUGAUAUUGCAAAGAAUGGAGAAAUAUAUAGGCCACAUACAGGAGAUGUAUGUGGCAGAAGAUUAGAAGAAUAUAAGAAGGAUGUUAAAGAAGGUUGCUGUAAUACUGCACUCUCUUGAAAAAUGAUUAGUUAUGAUGUAAAUAUACUAUGGGAUGAUGCAUGUAUUAUAAAAGAAAUUAAAAAAUCAGAAGGAAUAAUAGUGGAAGUAAUAAAGAUCUAGACAUGAAGAAGAAUGAUUACAAGGUUCUGAAUCAAUUAGAUCCAACAUUGAUCAACAACACAUGGAAAUGAUGCAGAAAUGAUAGAAAACAUGAAUAGUACUUCCUUUAAAGAUUACUGAUAAGUCCUGAAUGCAUUCACCAAAUAUUCAUUUCAAUGUUCAUCUUCAUAUAUAUAUAUUCAUUAAGUAUGAAACUGUCUGAGUGUUUGUGUUUUUCUAUUAGAUUUGAUAGCUUUAUUUAUGAUAGGAUUCUGUUUUAAUGAUCAAGUUAUAAGUCUAUGCAAUUAUAAAUUGGAAUACUUAAUAUUUAUUGAUUAUACAUUUCCAUUUAUUCAUUAUAGCAUAAUACAUAUUGUAAACAUAAAACCAAAUAAAUCAGACAAAAUGGACAUUGGUGUAUUAAACUACAGUGAAACCCCGCUCGUGCGUUCCCAUAUCGUAUGACUUUCCCACUUUAAACGUCUAUUUUCGAAAGUCCGAGC
rnacentral:lncRNA from 1 species